UUGAUUGUAUGAGAUACAAAGGUGAUUGGCUUUAGUACAAGUGAAAGAUUGAAAGAAGAAUGCCCUAUAAGCCAAUCGUAAGUGUGUUGCGACAGGACUUUCUUUAUAAUUUUUUAACUCAUGAAAUGAUAUUUAUUAUUUGAGACAUUGAUUCAUCAGAUUAGCUGCAUCUUAUUAUGUCUAAGAUUAUGAUAAACCCUAA
rnacentral:lncRNA from 1 species